CCUACGGGAGGCUGCAGUGGGGGAUAUUGCACAAUGGGGGAAACCCUGAUGCAGCGACGCCGCGUGGGCGAAGAAGUAUUUCGGUAUGUAAAGCCCUAUCAGCAGGGAAGAAGAAAUGACGGUACCUGAGUAAGAAGCACCGGCGAAAUACGUGCCAGCAGCCGCGGUAAUACGUAUGGUGCAAGCGUUAUCCGGAUUUACUGGGUGUAAAGGGAGCGCAGGCGGCACGGCAAGCCUGAUGUGAAAGGCCGCGGCCCAACCGCGGGACUGCAGUGGAAACUACCGGGCUGGAGUGCCGGAGAGGUAGGCGGAAUGCCUGGUGUAGCGGUGAAAUGCGUAGAUAUUGGGAAGAACGCCAGUGGCGAAGGCGGCGUACUGGACGGUGACUGACGCUGAGGCUCGAAAGCGUGGGGAGCGAACAGGAUUAGAUACCCGGGUAGUC
rnacentral:rRNA from 1 species